UAUGGACACUAGGUAUAAAACGCCU
rnacentral:piRNA from 1 species